GGGGAUUUAGCUCAGUGGUAGAGCGCUUGCCUAGCGAGCGCAAGGCGCUGGGUUCGGUCCCCAGCUCCGGGGAAAAAAAAAAAAGAGUUGGCUGAGGGGUUAAGAGGAUCUGGGUUCAAUUCCCAGAACUCA
rnacentral:tRNA from 1 species